UCCAGCACUGCGCACAUCAUCCACAGUGCUGCUUCUCCCCCGCCUGCUCCUCUUCUUUUACCACCGCCAACAUCUUUUCUUCUCGCUCUUUUCCUUCGCUUGUUUGCCGGCGACACAAGAAGACUCAGAAGACCCCCUCCCUUCUUCUUCUUGCUAUGAUUAGCAUUUCCUCUUUUUUUAGGGCUAUUUGGGGGCUUUUCUUCCACGAUGCUGCGCGGCGACUUUUCUCCACCGCGGCCGCCAACUUGUGAGGAUUGAGGAGGACUGAUUGUUUUUUGGAUUUGGAGGCCAGGUGUGGAGGAGAGGGACGUUGGAGAUCCUGGUGGAGAAGAAGGAAUGGGCGAUGGGAUGCACCUCAGCUCGGCCAUGACGCGUCUGCACCUCUGCGUCUGGAUGGCGAGUCUCACCUGCCGCCUCAGCCUGCAGCAGGAGGCGACCGGCACUCCCCUGGAGGCGGAGCUUAACAACAACAUCACCGUGUUCACGCGCAUCCUGGACGGCCUGCUGGACGGCUACGACAACAGACUCCGCCCCGGACUGGGAGAAAAGGUGACCGAGAUCAAAACCAACAUUUUUGUCACCAGCUUCGGUCCGGUGUCCGACACAGAAAUGGAAUACACCAUCGACGUGUUCUUCCGCCAGAGCUGGAAGGACGAGCGUCUGUGCUUCAAAGGUCCCAUGAAGACUCUGCCGCUCAACAACCUUCUGGCCAGCAAGAUCUGGACGCCCGACACCUUCUUCCUCAACGGCAAGAAGUCCAUCGCCCACAACAUGACCACACCCAACAAACUGCUCAGGCUGCAGGACGACGGCACGCUGCUCUACACCAUGCGACUGACCAUAUCGGCAGAGUGUCCCAUGCAGCUGGAGGACUUCCCCAUGGACGCACACGCCUGUCCGCUCAAAUUUGGAAGCUACGCGUACCCGGUGUCAGAGGUGGUCUACACCUGGACCAAAGGUGCGGCCAUGUCUGUGGUGGUGGCGGAGGAAGGUUCCAGACUCAACCAGUACCACCUGAUCGACCAGACAGCGGGUACUGAGGACAUCAGCACCAGCCGAGGUCAGUACACGGUGAUGAUGGCUCACUUCUACCUGAAGAGGAAGAUCGGCUACUUUGUGAUCCAGACCUACAUGCCGUGCUUCAUGACCGUCAUCCUGUCCCAGGUGUCCUUCUGGCUCAACAGGGAGUCUGUGCCAGCACGCACCGUCUUUGGUGUGACCACGGUGCUCACCAUGACGACGCUCAGCAUCAGCGCGCGCAACUCGCUGCCCAAAGUGGCGUACGCCACCGCCAUGGACUGGUUCAUCGCCGUGUGCUACGCCUUCGUCUUCUCCGCCCUCAUCGAGUUCGCCACCGUCAACUACUUCACCAAGAGGAGCUGGGCGUGGGACGGCAAGAAGGCCAUGGAGGCGCAGCAGCCCAAACGCAAAGAACCGCUGGCGUUGUCCAAGAAGGCCAACAACGCCCGCUCGAUGGCGGUGAACUACUCGACCAACAUGGCCAAGGACUCGUCCAUCUCCACCAUCUCCAACAGCACGUCGGUCCAGAUGAAGACCUGCGAGUCCAAAGGCCCCGACCCCAAAAAGACGUACAACAGCGUGAGCAAGAUCGACAAGAUGGCCCGCAUCGUGUUCCCCGUGCUCUUUGGGACCUUCAACCUGGUCUACUGGGCCACCUACCUCAACAAGGAGCCUGCCAUCAAGGGAGCUGCUGCAAGUGAGACCAGCCAGACUCUUGUUAACUGAGCCUCCAUCUUCUUUCUUUCACCACUUACAGUACAAGUCACCUUCCAAACCAUCUUUCAUCUCCUAAACCAUGUUUCAUCACCAUGUUUCAUCUCCUAAACCAUGUUUCAUCUCCAUGUUUCAUCUCCUAAACCAUGUUUCAUCUCCAUGUUUCAUUUCCUAAACCAUGUUUCAUCUCCAUGUUUCAUCUCCUAAACCAUGUUUAAUCUCCUAAACCAUGUUUCAUCUCGUAAACCAUGUUUCAUCUCCAUGUUUCACCUCCUAAACCAUGUUUCACCUCCUAAACCAUGUUUCAUCUCCAUGUUUCACCUCCUAAACCAUGUUUCAUCUCCAUGUUUCAUCUCGUAAACCAUGUUUCAUCUCCAUGUUUCACCUCCUAAACCAUGUUUCAUCUCCAUGUUUCACCUCCUAAACCAGGUUUCAUCUCCAUGUUUCAUCUCCUAAACCAUGUUUUUGGAUGGGUGGCCAUCUCUAUGUUUCACCUCCUAAACCAUGUUUCAUCUCCAUGUUUCAUCUCGUAAACCAUGUUUCAUCUCCAUGUUUCACCUCCUAAACCAUGUUUCAUCUCCAUGUUUCACCUCCUAAACCAUGUUUCAUCUCCAUGUUUCACCUCCUAAACCAUGUUUCAUCUCCUAAACCAUGUUUUUGGAUGGGUGGCCAUCUCCAUGUUUCACCUCCUAAACCAGGUUUCAUCUCCAUGUUUUUUCUCCAUGUUUCAUCUCCAUGUUUCAUCUCCAUGUUUCACCUCCUAAACCAUGUUUCAUCUCCAUGUUUCACCUCCUAAACCAUGUUUCAUCUCCAUGUUUCACCUCCUAAACCAUGUUUCAUCUCCUAAUCCAUGUUUUUGAAUGGGUGGCCAUCCCUAUGUUUCACCUCCUAAACCAUGUUUCAUCUCCAUGUUUCACCUCCUAAACCAUGUUUCAUCUCCAUGUUUCACCUCCUAAACCAUGUUUCAUCUCCAUGUUUCACCUCCUAAACCAUGUUUCAUCUCCAUGUUUUUUCUCCAUGUUUCAUCUCCAUGUUUCAUUUCCAUGUUUCACCUCCUGAACCAUGUUUCAUCUCCAUGUUUUUUCUCCAUGUUUCAUGUCCAUGUUUCACCUCCUCUUACCUCAGGGGUGUCCAAACAGGUUGACCUUUAACCUCUCAGUCAACACAGUAGUCCAGGUAUGAAACCAAUCAAUAUUCAUGAUCUCUUAUUCCCAAUUCUGCAUUGACGUCCUCACUAAGUCACAUGAUUGUUCAUCUCUCCCCAAACUAUUUAUCAUGGGUAAAUAUUUCAUUGGCCCAACUCUCACUUCUCCUACAAGAUGGACUUUUUUUGUCUUGCUUUUGUGUUUCUUUCCUUUUCAUCCAGGACACUUCUCACUUCUCACUUCUCACUUCUCACUUUGGAACAAUCUGAUGUGCAAACUACAAAAACAGAAUAAAGCAUAAAUGCUAACAAAAUAAUUUCCUUCACAAAUGUUUCUUCCCUAAAAAGUAAACAUUUUUUAUAUUGAUAUUAUUUAUUGUUAUCAUGAUCAAUCUUUUUAUUUUAUUUAUACAUAUAUGUCUGUGUGUGUGUGUGUGUGUGUGUGUGUGUGU